CUGCAGCCUGCCCGGUCCCUGUCUCCCCAUGGCCUUCCCAGUUGGCAGUCCACCUCUAGGAUAAACCAACAAAUGAAAAAAUACAUGGAAAUGCCAGAAUCAGGAAUGGUGCUGUACUGGACAAUGGAGGGUCUCUGAGGGAUGAUUUUGUUUCUGAAAACCGAUCGAGAACGGCUAAAAA